AUGUCCGGAGGGCACCUUCUUGUCAACUCUUUGUAGCUCUCCCAUGCUUCAUAGAUAGUCUCCCCAUCUUGUUGUCUAAAUGUUUGUACCUCAAUUCUCAACUU